CCUGUGCUGAGCUUGUCGACUGCAACUAAUUUGAAUGUUCCAUUGCCAAUCAAAUGUCGGAACCCCUAUAUAAACCUUCAAGACUUAGUAUAAAGUAAAAAGAGUUCAUCGAGAUGAAGUUAGCAUUAAUCCUGUUUUUAAUUUUCAUUAUCCAUGCCCCGAAACAUGGCUCUCAAAAGGAUUGAGUGUUUUUCAAAUGCUUUCAAGUCGUAAUCUAAAAAAAUAAACAAUUUCUUUUAUCAUCGUAUAACAGAUGUCUUUUUUAAAAUGUUGUUUUUCCAAUUAAAUUAAAAAUAAACUUGUUAAAAAGAUAAACCGGUCAUCUUAUUUUUAAAUAGCUUUUCCGACUCCAUAAGGAACAUACAUAUGUAUAUUCUUAAUCCAGCAUCACAAGCCGAAUCGACCUCGCUCUGUCUUUAGUCUUUCUGUUCAUUUAUUUUGAUACGUAUUAAGGUCUUAAAAGCUAAAGCCACCAAACUACUGAAAGAAAGUAAUAAACAUAUAUUAAAGGACCUAAAUUUUUUGGACACUCAAUAUCCACUAGUGAUCUGAAUUCAUACGAUCAUAGACUUAGUUAACCUUGUUAACUAACUAGUUUAGGUUACCCCGUAACUAAAUGAAAUACAUUCGUUUGAUUAUGUAAGUUGACUGACACUAAUUUAUCGUUUCCAUAACUAAUCCAAUCUCACACUCUUGAAAACACACAAAAUUUGAUAUCUUGUUAAUAAAUCUUGAAAAGUUUUACAAAGUAAACAUAUUAAAAAUGCACUUCCAGAUAAUUUUGCCACUUUUUCUGAUUAUGACUUUUGUUAUCCAUUCCCCGCGAUGGGGUAAGGCUCAUGCUUGAAGUUCGACCGAACACCAAAGACCUGGGAACCCGUAAGCGUAAUUGAAUUAAUGAUUUAUUGGUAUUUAAAAAUUAUUAUGACUUGAUUUAAAAUA